GUCGAGUUGUAAACAAAGAUGGACGCCGAGGAAAUAGACGUAUGUUGUCAAGCACUGUUUUUCCAACGCACUUUCAAAAGUGCACAGAACAUUUGCGGCAUUUUAAGGCGGAGGAGAAAGAAGAGAGCAGUUAUUAAGGCCUGGGCAUAUGCUGCAGUUAUCGCUGCCACGUCGGUUCAGCGCAACGUGUGGGCACUGGAAAGGACUCAAGAUUGGUGGGAUCGUGUUGUGGUAAACUGGAACCAGGAAGAAUGGGUCAGCAACUUUCACAUGCGGAGAUAAACGUUUAACAUGUUGUGUGAGCGGCUGUCGCCAAGGCUCUCCUACAAGGAUACAAAAUUUCGCCAGGCAAUCCCAGUGCAGAAGCGUGUAGGAGUCGGACUAUGGUGGUUUGCUACAGGGACUGGUUAUCUGGGCUAUCGAUGGAAGCCAUAUCCCCAUCAUUGCUCCUGCUGAAAACCACACAGAUUACUUCAACCGAAAGGGAUGGCAUUCCAUGCUGCUGCAAGCAGUGGUCGACCACAGAUUUUGUUUCACAAACAUUAAUGUGGGGUGGCCAGGGAAUUCAGAAAUCUAUGACACGGAAGAAAGAGGAGUCCUUUUUCUAGACACCACAGAGGAGAUUGGAGGCACAGCAGUGCCCAUCAUGCUGGUGGGGGAUCCAGCAUACCCACUUCGGUCAUGGCUGAUGAAGGGCUACCCAGAGAUGGGAAAUGUGAAUGAAGACCAGCGUUACUUCAACAAGAGAUUAAGCAGGGCCAGAAUGUCUGUGGACUGUGCCUUCGGGUGUUUAAAAGGUCGAUGAAGGUGCCUGGCAAAACGUCUUGAUGUAGACAUAACACUGGUCCCUACAGUCAUCUCUGCUUGCUGCACUUUGCAUAACAUUUGCGAAAAACACAACGGGGCAUACACUGAAGAUCCUGAUGCAGCUGGGCCUUCUGACGUACCACCAGUGCCUGUUGACCAGUUGGGUGUUGCAGACAUCCAACCAUUAAGAGUGAGGGAGGCACUGGCCCAACAUUUUGCUCAACACCACUGAACUUAGGUGUCUUUAACUUCCCUUUACAUAACUAGUAACUAACAAGGGAUGUAUUGAAUUGAUGUUAAUUGCGCUAUUACACAUACUAUAUUCUUUCUUCUUCUGAUCUCGGAAAAAAUAAAUAAAAAUAAUUGAUGAUUGAUAUAAUCAUUAGUGGCAGCCCUCUGUACAAUCGCACUGAAAGUGCCUUGGUAGAGUAAUUGUACAGAAUGUUUUUGUUAUUCUUCCUCCAAGUAUGGCUGCCUGUAUUACAGCAACAGCUGAUAUUAUUUGUAAGGGAUUAUUUGCAUCCGAAGCAUAAUAAAAGUCGAGUCAAAAUUCUCAA